GAUUGAGCAUGGUGCAGUGGUUUGGGCAUUGGACAAUGACUCAGAAGACCAGGGUUCAAAUCCCUGCUCAGCCA